GUCACCAUCACAGAAACAUGGUGGAAUGAUUCGCACAGCUGGAGUGCUGCACAGCUGGAGUGCUGUGAUGUAUGGUUACUGACUUUGCAAAAGAGAUAAGCAAGGCAGGAAAGGAGAUGUUAUUUCCAAGAGUGAUUUUGAGACCCUGACUGUAUCAUCAUAUGAACUUGAGCAUGAACUUCGGAAACGACAGAAACAGCAUUCACAGAAGAAUAGGAGCUGCAAUGAACCAACCUCUGAAGAUCAUUCAGCCCAACACUCUGCUAAAGCAGUUCCCUAGAGAAGGCUAGCCAGGGAAGUGUCCAGUUGUAAUCAACCUCCUACGCAAGAGUACUGCUGCAAAAGACUGUAAGGUACUCUGAGGAAACAAUAUUUAAUACUGUUCAAAUAUGAUUAAAAUGAAUUGAUUCUUGCAAGAAGAUUAAUGAUCAAUCAUCUCCUAGUAGGCAAGGCCUACAUAAAAGAACACCACUACAACUUCCCAGAACAAGAUUAAAGUUUGAUUUCAUUGCGUUUUUGGCAUCUAGGCUGCACAUGCAAUUUGAAUUCCAGACACUUCAAUGCAAAUAAACCAGCAGAACAUAUCUACAGCAUUAAACACAACAUUGGACUUUUAAAACAUCUUAACCUUAUCGUGUCAGCCCUCCCCACUUGUGAAAUCAAAACACUGUGCUGGGAGCUGCUUCAAGGCAGGAAAGAAGGAACAGCCUCUAUUGCAGAAACACAUUCACUAUUGCAAAACAAACAAACAAACAAACAGCUGGGACCUUUAUUUUUCUGGACCAGGUACCAUAUUCAGACCUGUUCUCAUAGCAUGUCAUUGCAGCUCCAUGACGUGCUACACAUAAGUGGUUUGUCAAAUGAGGUACCUUCCUCUCACUGGUUCCGUUCUUCCAUGAAACAGAAGUUUCUCAGGAGGAGGGAAGGAAUAACCUACUAUGGAUGACCACAUGAAGCCAGUCAGCUAGUUUGGAUGCAUGGACUCAUACACCUCUUACAAAUGCAAGCUAAUGAGGAGAAUAUAUUUAUUGGAGCAGGACUAUAGCAUGAACUAAGCUCAUGAAUACAGACAAGUUCUCUGGAAGAGUUAUCAGAAAUGUAAUCUUACUCUGUAUCUUGUGCAAGCACAGUCCAAGCAUCAGAUGACUGCAAGUGUUCCAUCAAAACUCAUAACACCAUAAACUCAUACUACCCCUGCUAAGCAGGUACGUGAACUGCUGCCUAAGUAUUUCUAUUAGAGAAAACUCUACCUGCAAAUUGCUGGAAGUUAUUACUACAGAAACUAUUGCCUCAAUGUUUUUGUCCACUUACAUGGCUUCCUGCAGCAUCAUAUCAUCUUUCCUCUGCUGGUAUCUGCAUCUAUCAUUUCAAGACAGAACUGAAUCUUCACACAAUAUUUAGUAUAUCAAUACAGAUGGAUACAAAGCAGAAAAAGUAACUUAGAAGCAGUUUUUUUGAAUUAGUUGUUUAGACAGAGCAUACCUUCAAUAUAUCAGACUUGAUGGUUUCAAUUAUUUGAAACUCAGCAGUAUUAUCAUAUGGAGGUGGAAAAGGUCAGAAGGAAAUCACAGUUUGGAGUACACACACACCAAGUUCUCUGAAUAAUCCUUACAUUGAAAAAUUCACAUCAAGAAUAAACCGUACACAAAGAGCCUGUAAAAUAAUAACUAAAAAACCUUGACUCAUGCAAUGAAAUAUUUGCAGAAGAAAAGUCUGCACAUACAUAUGCUGAUAUUUAGAAGGAUGGAAGACAGAUCCAUGGAAGAUCCAUGUUUCUUCAAAGUCUACUUCAGUAUUCAGGUUUGCCUGCUCCAAAUUGGAAGAACAGAUAUUAAACCAUAAACUAUCUGAAAUGU